CGAGCGAUGAUGCUCCUUCGGGAGUACAUCAGCGGCGAACGGGUGAGUAACACGUGGGUGACUUGCCCCGAUGAUGGGGAUAACCUCUGGAGACGGGGGCUAAUACCCAAUGUGCUCGGUGAUUCGGUUCAUCGAGUAAAGCUCCGGCGCUUCACGAGAUGCCUGCUGCCCAUCAGCUAGUUGGUAAGGUAACGGUCUACCAAGGCAGAGACGGGUAUGUGGCGUGAGAGCGCUGACGCCCACACUGGCACUGAGAUACUGGCCAGACUCCUACGGGAGGCAGCAGUAAGGGAUAUUGCAGCAAUGGACGAAAGUCAGACGCAGCGACGCCGUGUGGGCGAUGAACGCCUUCGGAUUGUAAAGCCCUUCUAUGGGGGAAGAGCAAAAAGGACGGUACCCCAGGAAUAAGUCCCGGCUAACUACGUGCCAGCAGCCGCGGUAAAACGUAGGGGACAAGCGUUAUCCGGAUGCACUGGGCGUAUAGAGCGUUGAGGCGGUUCCGUAAGUCAGGCGUGAAAGCUCCGGGCUUAACUCGGAGAUGUCGUUCAAUACUGCGGGGCUUGAGGACAGCAGAGGAAGGUGGAAUUCCCGGUGUAGUGGUGAAAUGCGUAGAUAUCGGGAGGAACACCCGUGACGAAGGCGGCCUUCUGGGCUGUUCCAGACGAUGAAGGCGCAAGCUAGGGGAACGAACGGGAUCAGAUACCCCGGUAGUCCUAGCUGUAGACGAUGGAUGCUGGAUGUGGGGGGUGUAAAUUCCCUCUGUCCACGAAGCGAACGCGUUAAGCAUCCCGCCUGGGGACUACGGCCGCAAGGCUUAAACUCAGACGAAAUGACGGGGGCCCGCACAAGCAGCGGAGCGUGUGGUCGAAUUAGAUGCGACACGAAGAACCUUACCUGGGUUUGACAUGCACGUGGUAGGGAAACCGAAAGGGGACCGACCUUCGGGAGUGUGCACAGGUGCUGCAU
rnacentral:rRNA from 1 species